rnacentral:rRNA from 1 species
AGUGAACGCUGGCGGUAGGCCUAACACAUGCAAGUCGAACGGCAGCACAGUAAGAGCUUGCUCUUACGGGUGGCGAGUGGCGGACGGGUGAGGAAUACAUCGGAAUCUACUUUUUCGUGGGGGAUAACGUAGGGAAACUUACGCUAAUACCGCAUACGACCUACGGGUGAAAGCAGGGGAUCUUCGGACCUUGCGCGAUUGAAUGAGCCGAUGUCGGAUUAGCUAGUUGGCGGGGUAAAGGCCCACCAAGGCGACGAUCCGUAGCUGGUCUGAGAGGAUGAUCAGCCACACUGGAACUGAGACACGGUCCAGACUCCUACGGGAGGCAGCAGUGGGGAAUAUUGGACAAUGGGCGCAAGCCUGAUCCAGCCAUACCGCGUGGGUGAAGAAGGCCUUCGGGUUGUAAAGCCCUUUUGUUGGGAAAGAAAGGCAGCAGGUUAAUACCCCGCUGUUCUGACGGUACCCAAAGAAUAAGCAUCGGCUAACUUCGUG